rnacentral:lncRNA from 1 species
CAGUGUAGCAUCGACAGAUUAACUUCUCACUUGCUAUUGAAGAUCAUUUCGUCACCGACGACCUUUUAUAAGAUAUGUAGAAUCUAUGAUUGCGGCCUUGAUGGACUUGGGCUAGUCUGCAAUGUUGACAGAAGCGUUUGUUUAUAUUUAUAACCGACUCGGCCAAACAGAAACAACGCACGGUCUUUGCAAAUAAAGUUUAGUGGUGUUUUCCAAAGUGUGUUCUAGGGGAAUGGGAAUGCAGAAUCAUAUUUACUGGUACUUAAAGUCAUCAGAAAGUUUAAGUAUUUAAAUAUGUGACGGAAGGUUGAGGUGCUACUAAGCCUCAAAAGCGUUGAAGUCUCUAUAGCAUUUCAGAUGAGACGGUAAGAGCCCGAGCAGAGAGGAGUUUAAGAUUUAACAUAUGGGGCACUGCCCCCUACUUCCGUCCACUCCAGCAGUCCCUGACACGGUGGUGCUUCCACAAAGCCAAUGUAACCUUCUUGGCUUUACGUGAAGGUCAGUUGUAAGCACCAGACACGCCUCUUGCCACACCUUUGGCCACGUUCCGGUGGGGCCGGUACGCCUGGGGUACGUACCGGCAACCUGUCGUGAUCAGCAGGCAGAGGGCAUGCCUCAUUUCCCCUCACUCGUGUGGGAACAGAGAGAAUAACCUCUUGCAACAGUCUACUUUAAAGGUGAUUAUGCUAUGCUACAAGAAAUACCCUGAAAAACAGUUACAGCAUGGGACUACUGCUAUGAAAUAAAGACCACUGCCUUCUCCCACCUGGGUGAUAGGAGAGAAGAAACCUGUUGCUGACGCCAUUCUGGGACCAAAGCAACACCAUCCCUUGGGAUAACUGUGAGGAUGUGGCCACUGCACAAGAAAAGGACCCCAAAAAUGCCAGUUACUGGACAUCCAUCACCUGUCUAUGAUGGGUGGACGUUCCCUUCGCCGACAGGGGCUAUUUACUGCCACCAAACACUCUACACAAUUGUAUGAAGGUACCCAUAUGAUUCCGGCCUUUUCACACGAAGAUGCUGAUGCCGUCUUGCAUGGGUGUAUCAAACAUUCAUAUAGUGGGGUAGAAGUAUGGGGAUGAGGGGCAACU